AUUGAACGCUGGCGGCAGGCCUAACACAUGCAAGUCGAGCGAGUGGCGGACGGGUGAGUAAUGCUUGGGAAUCUAGCUUAUGGAGGGGGAUAACUACGGGAAACUGUAGCUAAUACCGCGUACCAUAGGAUGAGCCCAAGUGGGAUGAGGUAGUUGGGGAGGUAAAGGCUCACAAAGCCGACGAUCGCUAGCUGGUCUGAGAGGAUGACCAGCAACACUGGGACGGAGAACCGGCCAAGACUCCUACGGGAGGCAGCAGUGGGGAAUAUUGGGCAAUGGGGGCAGCCUGACGCAGCCAUGCGGCGUGAAUGAAGAAGGCCUUCGGGUGGUAAAGUUCGUUCGGUAGCGAGGCGUUAACUACAGAAGAAGCAACGGCUAACUCCGUGCCAGCAGCCGCGGUAAUUC
rnacentral:rRNA from 1 species